CCUACGGGGGGCAGCAGUGGGGAAUAUUGGACAAUGGGGGAAACCCUGAUCCAGCCAUGCCGCGUGUGUGAAGAAGGCCCUCGGGUUGUAAAGCACUUUCAGUGAGGAAGAACGCCUGGUGGUUAAUACCCAUCAGGAAAGACAUCACUCACAGAAGAAGCACCGGCUAACUCCGUGCCAGCAGCCGCGGUAAUACGGAGGGUGCGAGCGUUAAUCGGAAUUACUGGGCGUAAAGCGCGCGUAGGUGGCUUGAUAAGCCGGUUGUGAAAGCCCCGGGCUCAACCUGGGAACGGCAUCCGGAACUGUCAAGCUAGAGUGCAGGAGAGGAAGGUAGAAUUCCCGGUGUAGCGGUGAAAUGCGUAGAGAUCGGGAGGAAUACCAGUGGCGAAGGCGGCCUUCUGGACUGACACUGACACUGAGGUGCGAAAGCGUGGGUAGCAAACAGGAUUAGAUACCCGUGUAGUC
rnacentral:rRNA from 1 species